rnacentral:rRNA from 1 species
UACGUAGGGGGCAAGCGUUGUCCGGAUUUAUUGGGCGUAAAGAGCGUGUAGGCGGCCAGGUAGGUCAGCUGUGAAAACUCGAGGCUUAACCUCGAGAUGUCGGCUGAAACCAUCUGGCUAGAGUCCGGAAGAGGAGAGUGGAAUUCCUGGUGUAGCGGUGAAAUGCGCAGAUAUCAGGAAGAACACCCGUGGCUAAGGCGGCUCUCUAGUACGGUACUGACGCUGAGACGCGAAAGCGUGGGGAGCAAACAGG